rnacentral:rRNA from 1 species
UACGUAGGGGGCAAGCGUUGUCCGGAAUCAUUGGGCGUAAAGAGCGUGUAGGCGGCUUUACAGGUCCGUUGUGAAAACUCGAGGCUCAACCUUGAGACGCCGGUGGAAACCGUAAAGCUAGAGUCCGGAAGAGGAGAGUGGAAUUCCUGGUGUAGCGGUGAAAUGCGCAGAUAUCAGGAGGAACACCCGUGGCGAAAGCGGCUCUCUGGGACGGUACUGACGCUGAGACGCGAAAGCGUGGGGAGCAAACAGG